CAGAGUCCGUCAGGAACAACGAAGAAGAGUGUAUCCAGCGAAGAAGAGAUUAUCCAGGGGAGGCUUAGGGAAGAAGAAGAAAUCGAAUCCCAUCAGAAACAGCACUACCAACAGCACGGAGGAAAACGGCGCUUUGCAGCGACAUCGGCCGGCCAGGCUGCUGAUGAAGGUUAUAGAUUUCUAAAGCUCAUGAACUCCAAAAAAGCCCAGUGAGGACUCCUCACUUGGGGAGGACAAGUGGGGGAAACCAUGCAGCAGUUGUAAACCUUCCCAAGAAGAGAGUACUGCAAAAUAGAGUGGGACAAAAUCCAUCCACAGUGGUGCACCUUUGGAAGGUGCUUGAUGCCACAAGAAGACACACCAAACACAGGUUUUCUGUGUUUAUCCACAUCUUCCUUCUGGAGGAGGCCAUCAGCUAAGCUGCUGUUGUGAAUAACAUUGUGUUCUCUUUCUACAGGUGAUACACUUAGCCCUGUCAUUAUGCUUAACCUUGUCUCAUUUUUGGAAAAA